rnacentral:rRNA from 1 species
UGUCUUUUAGAAAUUAAUUUAAAGUCUAGCCUGCCCACUGAAAUUUUUUAAAUGGCCGCAGUAUCCUAACUGUGCAAAGGUAGCAUAAUCAUUAGUCUUUUAAUUGGAGGCUGGUAUGAAUGGUUGGAUGAAAUAUUAACUGUUUCAUAAAAAUUUAUGAUAGAAUUUUAUUUUUUAGUUAAAAAGCUAAAAUAUAAUUAAAAGACGAGAAGACCCUAUAAAUCUUUAUAUUUUAAAAAUUACAGUUAUAUAGAUAAAUUAAAUUUUAAUUUUUAAAAAUAUUUUAUUGGGGUGAUAUUAAAAUUUAAUAAACUUUUAAUUUGUGAUAUACAUAAAUUAAUGAAUUUUUGAUCCAUUUAUUAUGAUUAAAAAAUUAAGUUACUUUAGGGAUAACAGCGUAAUUUUUUUAGAGAGUUCAUAUUGAUAAAAAAGAUUGCGACCUCGAUGUUGGAUUAAGAUACAGUUUUAGGUGCAGCAGCUUAAACUUAAAGUCUGUUCGACUUUUAAAUUCUUACAUGAU